rnacentral:rRNA from 1 species
ACGUUAGCGGCGGACGGGUGAGUAACACGUGGGUAACCUACCUAUAAGACUGGGAUAACUUCGGGAAACCGGAGCUAAUACCGGAUAAUAUUUCGAACCGCAUGGUUCGAUAGUGAAAGGUGGCUUUGCUAUCACUUAUAGAUGGACCCGCGCCGUAUUAGCUAGUUGGUAAGGUAACGGCUUACCAAGGCGACGAUACGUAGCCGACCUGAGAGGGUGAUCGGCCACACUGGAACUGAGACACGGUCCAGACUCCUACGGGAGGCAGCAGCC